GGCACUGUGGCUGAGCGGUAAAGCGCUUAGCUUCUGAAUGGGUGUCCCAGGUUCAAAUCUUGGUGAAGUCU
rnacentral:tRNA from 1 species